rnacentral:rRNA from 1 species
UGAGUGAAGAAGGCCUUCGGGUUGUAAAGCUCUUUCGUCCGGAGCGAAAUUGCAGCGUCGAACAAACGCUGUGGAUGACGGUACCGGAAGAAGAAGCACCGGCUAACUACGUGCCAGCAGCCGCGGUAAUACGUAGGGUGCGAGCGUUAAUCGGAAUUACUGGGCGUAAAGCGUGCGCAGGCGGUUUGUUAAGCCAGAUGUGAAAGCCCCGGGCUCAACCUGGGAACUGCGUUUGGUACUGGCAAGCUAGAGUACGGCAGAGGGGGGUGGAAUUCCACGUGUAGCAGUGAAAUGCGUAGAGAUGUGGAGGAACACCGAUGGCGAAGGCAGCCCCCUGGGCCGAUACUGACGCUCAGGCACGAAAGCGUGGGGAGCAAACAGGAUUAGAUACCCUGGUAGUCCACGCCCUAAACGA